AUUGAACGCUGGCGGCAUGCUUUACACAUGCAAGUCGAACGGCAGCGCGGGCUUCGGCCUGGCGGCGAGUGGCGAACGGGUGAGUAAUGCAUCGGAACGUGCCCAGUAGUGGGGGAUAGCCCGGCGAAAGCCGGAUUAAUACCGCAUACGACCUGAGGGUGAAAGCGGGGGACCGAAAGGCCUCGCGCUAUUGGAGCGGCCGAUGUCGGAUUAGCUAGGUGGUGGGGUAAAGGCUUACCAAGGCGACGAUCCGUAGCUGGUCUGAGAGGACGACCAGCCACACUGGGACUGAGACACGGCCCAGACUCCUACGGGAGGCAGCAGUGGGGAAUUUUGGACAAUGGGGGCAACCCUGAUCCAGCCAUGCCGCGUGCGGGAAGAAGGCCUUCGGGUUGUAAACCGCUUUUGUUCGGGAAGAAAUCCUCUGGGCUAAUACCCCGGGGGGAUGACGGUACCCGAAGAAUAAGCACCGGCUAACUACGUG
rnacentral:rRNA from 1 species